rnacentral:rRNA from 1 species
GGGGGGUGCGAGCGUUGUCCGGAAUCACUGGGCGUAAAGGGCGCGUAGGUGGUUUGAUAAGGGUGUGGUGAAAGUCCGGGGCUCAACCCCGGAUCUGCCGUGCCGACUGUCAAACUCGAGGGCUGUAGAGGCAGGCGGAAUUCCGGGUGUAGCGGUGGAAUGCGUAGAGAUCCGGAGGAAGACCGGUGGCGAAGGCGGCCUGCUGGGCAGUUUCUGACACUGAUGCGCGACAGCGUGGGGAGCAAACAGGAUUAGAUACCCUGGUAGUCCACGCCGUAAACGAUGGGUACUAGGUGCCUGGGGGAGCGACCCUCUGGGUGCCGGCGCUAACGCAGGAAGUACCCCGCCUGGGGAGUACGACCGCAA